GGUCUAAUUGCGGAGAGGUCCGCGCCUGCAUUACAUGCAUGGUUGUUCGUUCAAGCUUAUUGCACGUGCAGGAUACGCCCGUUCGACUCGGGCUUGGACCG